CGGGGUAAUGGCCCACCUAGGCUUCGACGGGUAGCCGGCCUGAGAGGGCGGACGGCCACAUUGGGACUGAGAUACGGCCCAGACUCCUACGGGGAGGCAGCAGUGGGGAAUAUUGCGCAAUGGGGAAACCCUGACGCAGCGACGCCGCGUGCGGGAUGAAGGCCUUCGGGUUGUAAACCGCUUUUGAUUGGGGAGCAAGCCUUUUGGUGAGUGUACCUUUCGAAUAAGCGCCGGCUAACUACGUGCCAGCAGCCGCGGGUAAAU
rnacentral:rRNA from 1 species